AAAUGUGCUCUUUUAGCAUUUCUCCAGUAGGUUUUCUGAAGAAGAAAGUCUCA
rnacentral:snRNA from 1 species